rnacentral:miRNA from 1 species
UGGAUAUGAAGAACAAU